rnacentral:rRNA from 1 species
UGCAAGUCGUACGAGAGUUUUUAACUCAAGUGACGGACGGGUGAGUAACACGUAAGAAUUUGCCUUUAGGAGGGGGAUAACAGUUGGAAACAGUUGCUAAUACCCCAUAUGCUUUCGAGUGAAAUGGAUUUUCCGCCUAGAGAGAAGCUUGCGGCUGAUUAGCUUGUUGGUAAGGUAAUGGCUUACCAAGGCGACGAUCAGUAUCUGGUUUGAGAGGAUGAUCAGACACACUGGAACUGAGACACGGUCCAGACUCCUACGGGAGGCAGCAGUGGGGAAUUUUCCGCAAUGGGCGAAAGCCUGACGGAGCAAUACCGCGUGAGGGAUGACGGCCUAUGGGUUGUAAACCUCUUUUUUCAGGGAGGAAGAAAGUGACGUGUACCUGAAGAAUAAGCAUCGGCUAACUCCGUGCCAGCAGCCGCGGUAAGACGGAGGAUGCAAGUGUUAUCCGGAAUCACUGGGCGUAAAGCGUCUGUAGGUGGUCAAAUAAGUCAACUGUUAAAUCUCGAGGCUCAACCUCGAAAUCGCAGUCGAAACUAUUCGACUAGAGUAUAGUAGGGGUAAAGGGAAUUUCCAGUGGAGCGGUGAAAUGCGUAGAGAUUGGAAAGAACACCGAUGGCGAAGGCACUUUACUGGGCUAUUACUAACACUCAGAGACGAAAGCUAGGGUAGCAAAUGGGAUUAGAUACCCCAGUAGUCCUAGCUGUAAACAAUGGAUACUAGAUGUUGAACAGAUCGACCUGUGCAGUAUCAAAGCUAACGCGUUAAGUAUCCCGCCUGGGAAGUGUGCUCGCAAGANUGAAACUCAAAGGAAUUGACGGGGCCCGCACAAGCGGNGGANCAUGUGGUUUA